rnacentral:pre_miRNA from 1 species
UUUUUAGUGCAAGUAUAUCCCAUGCAAUAUUUGGGAUAUACUUUUACUGAAA